rnacentral:rRNA from 1 species
AUGGUUAGGGGUCUAUUGGAAAUCCCUUCUUUGGAGGAGUUCAGACAUCUACAUGUUCUUGACUUGAUGAAUUGCUCCGAAUUGGAAGAUCAUCAUCUUGAAAAUAUAGUGAGGUUGUUCCAGCUGAGGUACCUAAAUCUCAAAUGUACAGAAAUAAGCAAGCUCCCAGAACAAAUUGGUCGUUUAGGAUGCUUAGAGGUGCUGGACCUAACAGGGACAUAUGUAAAGGAAUUACCUACAUCUAUUGUUAACCUCAGAAAAUUGAUGCAUCUACUUGUUAAUGAUUUUGUUAAAUUUCCUGAUGGGAUUGCAAAGAUGCAAGCAAUAGAGACGUUGAAAGUUGUCAAUGCCUCCAUUCAGCCAUUAGACUUCCUGUGCGGCCUUGGCAAACUAAAGAAUUUGAGGGAAUCUGCAGCUUUACCUUGA